CGCGGCCGGAGGUGAUGGAAUGGGACGGAUCGACGCCGCCGCACGAAUGGAAGGUAUGGGGCGGGCCGAGUCAGAUGACUGAAACUGCUGUUGUGGAUAACAGAAGAUGUCAGCGUGAGCACAGAUAAAAAUUACAACAAGAACAGGGUAAAGAGCUGGACUUUGCCUCUGGUGAACACUUUAAGAGAACAGUAACGGCAGGGGCAGAGAAGAGCUGAGCCCUGCCCACAUGGGAGAUGAGGAGACCACAGAUGUCCCAGCUACACAUGUGCAGAAAGGCUCCUCGGCAGCAAAAAAGGCAGGGGGCACCACCCCACCAUAGGUGAUGUCAACCUACCCAUAGGCCUCUUCGCUGGAAUCCAUCUCGGCUAAGAGAUGUGAGUGCACACAAGGGAGGACCCUGAGACAAACCAAAGAGGGACUCAGAGCCAGACAGGGCAAGAUGAUUGGCCAGAAGAAACCUGGAAGAAAUGCCCCAUAAAAGUGAGUCAAACUACCGUGAGGGCGCAAGUCUCUGAGCCUGCCUGUGUGAGUCUAUUCACACAUAUC